UACUAUGUUACGACUUAUCUCUUAUUUUAAUAAAUAACGAGAGCGACGGGCGAUAUGUACACACUCCAGAAACUUAAUCAUUAAUACUAUCUAAAAUAAUAAUUACAUUCAAAUCCAAUUUCAUAUUAAAAUUACAAUCAACAAUUCAAACAUAAAUAACAAUGUAACCCAUAAUCACUUAACUAUAAAUUGCACCUUGACCUGAAAUAAAUUAAAAUAAAAAAACAAGAAAAUUUUAUAUUCUAAAAAAACUCUCAAAACAACGGCGGUAUACAAAUAAAAUCUUAAGUCAAGUAAGGUCCAACGCGGAUUAUCGAUAAAAAUACAGGUUCCUCUGAACAGAAUAAAAUACUGCCAAAUUCUUUGAGUUUCGAGAAAAUGAACAUUACUACUCAAGUUAAAUAAUUUACAUAAAAAAUAUGGGUAUCUAAUCCUAGUUU
rnacentral:rRNA from 1 species